AAACUUAGGAUAACAUUAAACCAAAG
rnacentral:tRNA from 1 species